rnacentral:rRNA from 1 species
UCCGUAGGCGGAUAAUUAAGUCAGAGGUGAAAUCCCACAGCUUAACUGUGGAACUGCCUUUGAUACUGGUUGUCUUGAAUUAUAGUGAAGUAGAUAGAAUGUGUAGUGUAGCGGUGAAAUGCUUAGAUAUUACACAGAAUACCGAUUGCGAAGGCAGUUUACUAACUAUAUAUUGACGCUAAUGGACGAAAGCGUGGGGAGCGAACAGGAUUAGAUACCCUGGUAGUC